CUACGGGAGGCAGCAGUAAGGAAUUUUCCGCAAUGGGCGCAAGCCUGACGGAGCAACGCCGCGUGGGGGAUGACACCUUUCGGGGCGUAAACCCCUUUUCUUGGGGACGAAGCAGUGACGGUACCCGAGGAAGAAGGCCCGGCUAACUACGUGCCAGCAGCCGCGGUAAUACGUAGGGGCCGAGCGUUGUCCGGAGUUACUGGGCGUAAAGCGCGCGCAGGCGGCUCGUCAAGCCUGACGUGAAAGCCCCCGGCUCAACCGGGGAGGGUCGUCGGGGACUGGCGGGCUUGAGGUCGGCAGGGGCUGGUGGAAUUCCCGGUGUAGUGGUGAAAUGCGUAGAGAUCGGGAGGAACACCCGUGGCGAAGGCGGCCAACUGGGCCGGACCUGACGCUGAGGCGCGAAGGCGUGGGGAGCGAACGGGAUUAGAAACCCGUGUAGUCC
rnacentral:rRNA from 1 species